rnacentral:rRNA from 1 species
CCUACGGGAGGCAGCAGUGAGGAAUAUUGGUCAAUGGACGAGAGUCUGAACCAGCCAAGUAGCGUGAAGGAUGACUGCCCUAUGGGUUGUAAACUUCUUUUAUAUGGGAAUAAAAUGUUCCACGUGUGGGAUUUUGUAUGUACCAUAUGAAUAAGGAUCGGCUAACUCCGUGCCAGCAGCCGCGGUAAUACGGAGGAGCCGAGCGUUAUCCGGAUUUAUUGGGUUUAAAGGGAGCGUAGGUGGAUUGUUAAGUCAGUUGUGAAAGUUUGCGGCUCAACCGUAAAAUUGCAGUUGAAACUGGCAGUCUUGAGUACAGGAGAGGUGGGCGGAAGUCGUGGUGUAGCGGUGAAAUGCUUAGAUAUCACGAAGAACUCCGAUUGCGAAGGCAGUUCACUGGACUGCAACUGACACUGAGGCUCGAAAGUGUGGGUAUCAAACAGGAUUAGAUACCCUAGUAGUC